AACGCACAUUGCGCCCUCUGGCAUUCCGGGGGGCAUGCCUGUUCGAGCGUCAUUUCACCUUCCAGCCGUGCUGGGUAUUGGGUUUUAGUCUGCCAAGUUUUAGUGGACACCUCAAACUUAGGGUGGAGAAGCAGCCGAAGACUUUUGCGCAGUGACAAAGAUCUCGCUCAAGCUUUUGGAUGAAUGUUCUCCCAAAUAAACCUCUCUUCUCUCUCCACACUCCACACUCCACACUCAACACUAGUAAUCCUAGAAUUGAGUGAGUGAGUGAGUGAGUAAGUAAGUGAUUGAAGACACCCAACACCAAAGAUUGACCUCGGAUCAGGUAGGAAUACCCGCUGAACUUAA
rnacentral:misc_RNA from 1 species